GCGGAGCGGCCUUACCUGAACCUGUCUGUUGCAGGAGUGGCUUCCAUGUUAAAUUCCGCCACCGGCACUCCUCUGGAGGACACCUGGGGGGCGAACAUGGCGGCAGGGUACACCACGGAGGAGGUUCCCACCUGCAAAGCCAGCAGCAAAUGAUAAAGCAGGAAAAGAAGACAAAACAUCCGAUUGUAUUGGUCAGUGAUGCGGAAUGUACACGGCAAGUAAAUAAAUAACCCCACAGAAGCAGCCCCUGACGAUGCCGACUGCCAUCCCACAAAGCAACACAAACAUCCUCACCACCAAGCAGAGGUCGCAUAGUUCGAGUUCCUUCUCCACCUCUGUGAGAACGUCUGGAUCCAGGGCUUCACCAAACCAUACAACGUGGGGACGAAGAAGACCAUGACAGCCAUCUUCCUCGCACCUAUUGAAAAAAUGUAGAGGUACAGCAUUAUAUUUCUGACAUGAACACCUCCACCUGCAUAGUGGCAAAGCAGCUCUCAUUAGGCUUCCUUCUUUCACUGCUCACAUUCACAGCACUCCUUAUGCUCUCCUGAGCACAGGUUGUUGAACAGUCAUUCAAUUCAGAAUCAUAAUUGCUGUGUCUUACUCAGCUCCUGAAAUGCAUGAAACUCCCAAGAACUUGAUAUGUGUCACAAUUCCUACUGACUUCAACAGAAACAGUCCAGCAGGUUUUUAAGAAGAAAGUGGGAUGGGCAGAAGCCCCACAGCAGCCCCACAGCAGCCCCGUUUCCUUAGGAACAAGAUAAAAAACGCAGUAGCUCCUUGCACCUGCAGCUAACCAAGGUAAAGCUUUAGCCACUACAGAAAGCACCCUGGCUUAUUUAGAGCCUGCAGGAAACUUCUCUGUGGCUGCGCACCAUCACCCUAUCACAUGCUGACCAACGGUAGAAAAGCAGAACAGUAGAAAAGUAACAGCUUACUGUGCAGUAGUUUCUUAGUGCAAUUCUACUGCUCACUACCAAACCCACAAGUUUUGGCAUGUUUUGAGUUUGAUGCUCAAGAACACAAACAUGCAGUUCCUUUAGCACUGUGAUAAACUUGUACAUACUCCUACUGUCUGGUGCCUCCCAAGCACUAAGUUUAGAUAUCAACUCUCUUCCCAGGUGUUCUGCUCCUGCUGAAUGUGUACGUGUCCUUCCAAAACUACAGAAACAGUCAUAAAAGAAUUGAGAUAUAUGAAAUUUUAAAAAGCUAGCAGCAAAAAAAAUAAAGAAGUUGAUACGUACUGAGGAAGUUCUUCAACUGGAAUUGUGGCAUCUUCUGUUUCUGGAUCUGGAGCCCUGAAUUUACAAAAUUGAAAUAUAUAUUCAAACAUACAGAUGAAGUGCAUUUUACAGACUGCCAAAAACUUCGUAUUUUAUCCAGUCAAGAAUCUUUGCAACUUCAGUCAACUCUACUAAAGGCCCACCUUGGCACACACAGGGCAAGCUGGCUUCUAUACAGUAUUAUCUCAGAGCUAAGCAACAGCAAUUAGCUUGUCAAAGUCUGACAAAGACACAGUAAGUAUUUAUGAAGCUAUCUAAAGAUCUGGGACUAAAACUUUUAUAAGCACAUGCCUGUCUUCUCCUCCCUUUUAUUUUUUUUUUCUUCCUUCAACACUGCAAGGAAAAAAAAAAAGAUGGCUAGAAGGAGGCCAAAGGGCUCUUCUGCAACUUGAAAAGAAAUCCUGGAAACUGAUUUUCCUGCAUUUCAAGACUUGUAAUGAGAGUCUCAAUGAUGAGUUGAAGCACAAGAGUAAUGAGGCACACAGGAGAUUCAGAACCCAAAUCCUGAAUAUUAUUAAAGAACAAUAAAGUGCUUGGCUAGAACUCCUCUAUGCUCCUGUAACAGCUCCUUUCCUACUGAAGAGCAGACUAAGCAGAAAAUAUUGGGAGUUUGCAAGGCAGAUGGAUUACCCUUUCCCAGCCAACGCCGGGCAGAUUGGACUCUUGUAAUUCGCAGUCACAUUUCCACAGUUGGUGCAUCGAGUUUUAAAUAAGCUUCCUGAAAUGCAGAAAGAGGAAACGUUACGGAUCAAGUAAUUGUUCUAGGGCACGACUGUACAAGCAAAUGGUUAUGUUUAUCCCAGACAGCUUUUAUUUGACUUGUGGGUUGACAGCUACAUGAACACGUAAAUUGGGUAUUGAAACUUGCCAUCAUUAUGGUUGAGAUGUUAUUUACAGAGUGCAUCUAUACGUUUGUUUAGCAACCAAACACAGCCAGGGUCAGAGUUAAGCACAGCACAGCACAAGCAGAGCCAGAAGCACCCUUUUACCUAAACGGCCACAGUGAACAGCAGCAGCCUUUGAGCUACGCUUUAUGACCUUCUACCUUAUAUAAUUAAUACGCAGCUUCAUAGCAGUUAUUUCAAAGGAAAAAAUCACUAAAAGUGUUACCAAAUGAGAUCAUUUCUGCUUGUGGUUAGCCCCACUUUGUUUUAUGCAAACUCCCCAACUGCAAGAUGCACAUCUCUGAACUUCCAUAGAGCUAAUACCACGCGCUGUGGAGACGCCCAUCAGUUUAAAUUGUUUAGAUUUUGUGAAGAAUAAAACUAUACCCAUGGCUUUA